GCGGUGGAGCAUGUGGUUUAAUUCGAUGCAACGCGAAGAACCUUACCAGGUCUUGACAUCCCGAUGCUAUUUCUAGAGAUAGAAAGUUACUUCGGUACAUCGGUGACAGGUGGUGCAUGGUUGUCGUCAGCUCGUGUCGUGAGAUGUUGGGUUAAGUCCCGCAACGAGCGCAACCCUUACGGUUAGUUGCCAGCGGGUUAUGCCGGGCACUCUAGCUGAACUGCCGUUGACAAAACGGAGGAAGGUGGGAUGACGUCAAAUCAUCAUGCCCUUUAUGUCCUGGGCUACACACGUGCUACAAUGGCCUGUACAGAGGGAAGCGAAAGGGUGACCUGGAGCGAAUCCCAAAAAGCAGGUCUCAGUUCGGAUUGCAGGCUGCAACCCGCCUGCAUGAAGUCGGAAUCGCUAGUAAUCGCAGGUCAGCAUACUGUGGUGAAUACGUUCCCGGGCCUU
rnacentral:rRNA from 1 species